CCGCGAGGUGGAGCCAAUCCCAAAAAACGCGUCCCAGUCCGGAUUGCAGUCUGCAACUCGACUGCAUGAAGUUAGAAUCGCUAGUAAUUCGAGAUCAGCAUGCUCGGGUGAAUGCGUUCCCGGGCCUUGUACACACCGCCCGUCACACCACGAAAAUCGGUUUUACCCGAAGCCGGUGAGCCAACCAGCAAUGGAGGCAGCCGUCUACGGUAGGGCCGAUGAUUGGGGUGAAGUCGUAACAAGGUAGCCGUAGGG
rnacentral:rRNA from 1 species